GAUUCACAAACCUAGUCGAUUUUGCCACUAAACUGAUUUGUAAAGAACUCCAAGCACUGAAACCACUACUUAGGUGGCUUCCUAAUGUGCCAUUCCUUCCAGUCCACGAGAGUUUGGGUUUGAGAGCCUCUAGGUGUGGCAAGCAUACAGCGAGCAAAUCUGGCAGCUGGCUAAGGUUGGAGAGACCAUGGCGGGGCAGGUGACUCCGACGUGGAAGACCUUUUUCUAGCCCUGGUUGCAGCACACUUCUUUUGCCUGUUUUAUUAGGAGCUGUUCGCUGCCGCUGCUAUCUCUCUAAUUCUGCUUCUGCUGUGCUACCACUUUGCUACUGCUGUGGAACAAAUUAAGACAGUAAUUAAGGUUUUCGAUGGAUAUGUCGAAAGACUGGAUGGAUACACCACGUUAUGAGAAAGAAUAUGAAGUUGGUGUAGAAUGAUUUUUACACUUUGCUUUCUCAUCAACAGGAGUUCCUCAAGGGGAAGAAAUUCAAUGCCCAUGUGCAAAGUAUUGUAAUAAACUUUGGUUAAAGAGAGAUGACGUAUAUGAUCAUCUAAUAUGCCACAGUUUUGUAAAAGGUUAUAGGCGGUGGUUUAAUCAUGGGGAAUCACUUUUUGCUAUGGAUAUUGACAGUGACAUAUAGACGAUGAAUAUAACUGCAAUGAUAAUAUUGAUGAGUUGUUACGUGAUAGAUUUAGAGAUACUACACAAGUUGACAGACAAAACAUGGGGCCCAACGAAUGUGCAAAGGAGUUUUAUAAAUUGGUAGACGAUGCAAGCCAAGAACUAUACCCCGGGUGUAAAGGAUUCACAAGACUAUCCUUUACCAUUCGUCUUGUUAAAAUGCUUGCAUGGUUGGAGUAAUGCGUCAUUUUCUUCUCUCUUGGAAUUAUUGAAAGAAGCAAUGCCAUAUUUGAAUGUUCCUAUUUCUUUCGAUAAAACCAAGAAUAUGGUGAAGAACUUGGGUUAUGACUACCAAAAGAUCGAUGCAUGUCGCAAUGACUGCAUGUUGUAUCGGAACGGGUAUAAGAAUGACUCAUCUUGUCAUGUCUGUGGAACAUCCCAUUAUAUUGAGCAUUAUGAAGAAGAGGAUGAUGUUACCUCAUCUAGAAAGCCUCGCAAAGUUGCUCCGAAAACUCUAAGGCAUUUCCCUUUGAUUCUCAGACUUCAACGGCUUUUUAUGUGCACAAGAACUGUCGAAGCUAUGUCUUAGCAUAACAAUGAGUGUGCUAAAGACGGGUCCUUAAGGCAUCUUGCCGAUGGUGAAUCUUGGAAGCAUUUGACAAUCAAUAUGAAGAUUUUGCAACGGAGCCUCGUAAUGUGAAACUUGGGUUAGCAAGCGACGGAUUCAAUCCAUUUCGAACUUUGAGUAGUACACACAGUAUAUAGCUUGUUGUUCUGAUGGUGUAUAAUCUACCCCCUUGGAUGAGCAUGAAGCCUGAUUAUUUUAUGCUAUCUUUACUCAUUCCUGGACCACAAUCACCGGAAAAUGACAUUGAUGUCUUUCUUCAACCGUUGAUUGAAGUCUUCAACCGUUGAUUGAAGAAUUAAAAGAACUAUGGGAGUUAGGUGUCGAAACAUAUGAUUCCAAAGAAAACAAAACAUUCAACAUGAGAGCAUGUCUUUUGUGGACAAUUAAUGACUUUCCUGCAUAUGCUAUGUUAUCUGGGUGGAGUACAAAGGAAAAAUUGGCUUGUCCAUGUUGUAAUGAUGAGACUUCUUCUAUCUAUCUGAAAUAUAGUCACAAGACUGUUUAUAUGUAUCACCAAAGGUUUUUACCCAUGAAUCAUCCAUGGAGGCAUAAGAAAAUAUCUUUCAAUGGAAAAACUGAACUCAGGUCUCCAUCGCAGUUGUUAGAAGGUUCAACUGUAUUUGAUAUAUUGCAAGAGGUAGAUAAUUCUUCUGGGAAGAAGCAAAAGAGAUUAAAGAAUGCCAUAUCAAAUUGGAAAAAAUGGUCAAUCUUUUUUGAUUUACCAUAUUGGAAGUUCAACAUGUUUAGACACAACCUUGAUGUCAUGCACAUAGAGAAAAAUAUAGUUGAUAGCAUAAUUGAAACUCUUUUAGAUAUUCCCAGAAAGACAAAAGAUCAUGCAAUUGCUCGUUUUGACCUUAAAGACAUGGGUAUCAGGAAAAACCUUCAACUAGAAAAUAUGAAGGAUGGAAAAAAAACUAAGUUAGCAUAGGCAUGCUUUUCAAUGACUCCAACAAAGAAAACAAUCUUUUGUAGUAUGUUAAAAGUGGCAAAAUUACCAGACGGUAGCGCUUCCAAUAUUGCUCGAUGUGUGCAUGAAAUAGAAAAGAAGAUUUCUGGUUACAAGACCCAUGAUGCUCAUUUCAUGUUGCAUUACUUGUUGCAAGUACCAAUCAAAAGCAUACUUCCUGACCAUGUUGCUAUCGCUCUAGUUCGAUUAUGUUCAUUUUUCGCCGAAUAUGUCAGAAGGUAAUUAGCCUAGAUGAGGUAGUUAACUUAGAAGCGGAUAUUGCUGAGACAUUAUGCCAAUUGGAGAGGAUUUCCCCUCCUAGCUUUUUUGACAUAAUGGUGCACUUGCCUAUUCAUUUGGCAAAUGAAGUGAGGUUAGGUGGUCCAGUUCAAUAUCGUUGGAUGUACCCUGUUGAACGGUAUAUGUGCACACUAAAAUCGUAUGUUCGUAAUAGAAGUCGUCCAGAAGGAUCUAUUGCUGAAGGAUAUUUGGCGAAUAAGUGUAUAAAUUUUUGCUAAAGAUAUUUGCAUGAAAAUGUUCAGACAAGAUUUAAUAGAAUCCCUCGGAACAACGAUGAGUGUGUUUCGGAUGAGGUGCGAACUCCUAGUUUGUUUCCAAGCAAAGGAUGUCCUCUUGGUGGAAAAAUGGGAGAUUUAGUUAUUUUAGAUGAAAAAUCAGAAAUACAAGGUCAUGCAUACAUCCUAAACGAUUGUGAUAAGUUCGAAGUCUGCAUGAGGUAUUUUGUUCGAUUCAUUAUCAUUUGUUAGAUCUCAAUCAUUAUAUUUAACCUUACUAACAAAUAAGACUAUGAAUAUUUAAUCUCUUCAAAGAGCAUGAGGAGGUGGUUAAUGAUAACAAUCCAUGAAGAACAAAGUUGGAAAAAGCCAAAGACCGUAGUCAACAAUUUUUAGAAUGGUUUAAAAUUCAUGCCAUGAAAAAGGAUGUGCCUGGUUGCGCAAAAGGGUUGGCUAGGGAUCCAAAUAGAGUUGCAAAAAUAUUUUCAGGUUAUAUUAUCAAUGGGUAUAAAUUCCAUACAAGGCACUGUGAUGCGAGACGUAAAACUCAAAAUAGUGGUAUCACAUUAGAGGCAUUGACUCCUAGUUUUGCUAGUGUGAAAGAUAAGAAUCCAAUCGAAGCAAAAGUAGCCUGCUAUGGUAGAAUAGUUGAUAUGUUUGAGUUAGAUUAUUAUGGCUAAUUUAAGGUAGUCCUAUUUAAGUGUGAGUGGUAUACAGUUAGAAAAGAUAACUCUGGUCUUUCAUGUGUAUUUCAAUAAAAAAUGCUACCAAGAAGAACCAUUUGUGCUAGCAUCUCAAGUGUGCAAGACCCAUAUGUCCGUUGGUGCACAUGUACGCAAAACCCACACUAUUUUGUACAACAGCAGCAGUACCAGCAAGUGCACUGGGUCGUCCAAGUAAUACCUGAGCGAGUCAGGGUCGAUCCCACGAGGAUUGUGGCUUGAAGCAAACUUAUGGUUGUCUUGCAGGUCUUAGACAGGCGGAAUCAGAAGGAGUUCAAUACAUAAAUAUUUAUGGGAUUAUUUGAAAUAAGGAUAGGAAUAGAGUUGAGAGUUGGAGUUGCUUUGUCUUUCUGAAGUAACUCUGGUACUACUGUCUUCUUUGCUUGUGAAUGAUCUUCUUCUAUGGCAGGCUGUAAGUGAUCAAAGCCACACCAAUGGUCCUUGAUCUCCUCUGCUACAGGUUGAACACGGCCAUGGCCAGUGGUCGUGAUAUUCAAUCUGACGAAGGGUGACGCGCAUAGCAGUCCAUUCUCCUGGCGAUCCUGCUUAAAACUCCACAGAUAAGGUAGAAUCUUUCGGAUUAGAGAACGCUACUUCUUGGAUUUAGCCUAUACCCCGGAGACCUUAAUCUCUCCGAAGAUCGGCUGAACUGGUAUUUCGAGAAGUCCCCAACGAAAUCAUAGAUUAACCAUCUGAGAGAUGUAUAAUCAUAGCUAUUGGCUCGUGCUUUUCUUCCAGGUACUCACACGAACCCAAGUAGACGCGGGUGUUUGUCAGGCACGUUUGUCUUAAUGUGAUGAAUAGAGCCAAUUUGUCAGAUCGUCCUGUUUAUCACGAUGAAGAUCAGAAUAUACAUCUUAGAGAUAAAUCAGACACAGAUCGAAGAAGAAGAAAUAGUACUUUUAUUAAUUCAUAGGACUCAGAAGGGCUCCUCCCCUCAACCUAGGAGAUUUAGAAACUCAUACUGAAAAUAAAAACAAAGAUAAAAACGUGUAUGGAGCUCUCCUGAAUCGGAGAGUGAUGAUGUUAUCCUCACUCGGAGAAUAAUAAUGAAUUACAUAGAUAAAAUCCCUUAAAUACUAAACAAAAGACUAUUAAGGGUAAAGUAGUCUAUUUAGUGCUAAAAUCCACUUCUGAGGCCCACUUGGCGAGUGUUUGGGCUGAGCUUUAAUGAGAUCCAUGUGCUAUGAGGUUCCUUGGGCGUGGAAUGCCAGCUAGGGGUCCUCUCUGGGUCUUUGGACGUUGGGCUAAUCUCUUUGGGUGCUGGACAACUGGAAGGGGGCAGGAAGGUGGCGUUGGACGCCAGUUUUGGGCCUUCUAAUCCAAAGCAAAGUAUGAACUAUUAUUUAUUGCUAGAAAGC